rnacentral:misc_RNA from 1 species
AAGUCGUAACAAGGUCUCCGUUGGUGAACCAGCGGAGGGAUCAUUAUAGAGUUUUCUAAACUCCCAACCCAUGUGAACUUACCAUUGUUGCCUCGGCAGAAGCUACCCGGUACCUUACCUUGGAACGGGCCUACCCUGUAGCGCCUUACCCUGGAACGGCCUACCCUGUAGCGGCUGCCGGUGGACUACCAAACUCUUGUUAUUUUAUUGUUAUCUGAGCGUCUUAUUUUAAUAAGUCAAAACUUUCAACAACGGAUCUCUUGGUUCUG